UACGAAGGGGGCUAGCGUUGCUCGGAAUCACUGGGCGUAAAGCGCACGUAGGCGGAUCUUUUAAGUCAGGGGUGAAAUCCUGGAGCUCAACUCCAGAACUGCCCUUGAUACUGGGGAUCUUGAGUCCGGAAGAGGUGAGUGGAACUCCGAGUGUAGAGGUGAAAUUCGUAGAUAUUCGGAAGAACACCAGUGGCGAAGGCGGCUCACUGGUCCGGUACUGACGCUGAG
rnacentral:rRNA from 1 species